CGUGUAGGCGGCCAGGCAGGUCCGUUGUGAAAACUCGAGGCUCAACCUCGAGACGUCGAUGGAAACCGUCUGGCUAGAGUCCGGAAGAGGAGAGUGGAAUUCCUGGUGUAGCGGUGAAAUGCGCAGAUAUCAGGAAGAACACCUAUGGCGAAGGCAGCUCUCUGGGACGGUACUGACGCUGAGACGCGAAAGCGUGGGGAGCGAACA
rnacentral:rRNA from 1 species